GACGAACGCUGGCGGCGUGCUUAACACAUGCAAGUCGAACGAAGUGGCGAACGGGUGAGUAAUGCGUGGGUAACCUGCCCUCCUUUUUGGGAUAAGCCUUGGAAACGGGGUCUAAUACAGAAUAAAGGGGGAUGGGCUCGCGGCCUAUCAGCUUGUUGGUGGGGUGAAGGCCUACCAAGGCGGUGACGGGUAGCCGGCCUGAGAGGGUGAACGGGCACAUUGGGACGGAGAUACGGCCCAGGGUCCUACGGGAGGCAGAAGUGGGGGAAAUUGCAGAAGGGGCGAAAGGCGAAUGCAGCGACGCGGCGUGGGGGAUGAAGGCUUUCGGGUUGUAAACCUCUGGCGCAAUCGAACGGGUAGGUAGAGAAGAAGCGCCGGCUAACUACGUGCCAGCAGCCGCGGUAAUAC
rnacentral:rRNA from 1 species